rnacentral:rRNA from 1 species
CGGCGCACGGGUGCGUAACGCGUAUGCAAUCUGCCUUACACUAAGGGAUAGCCCAGAGAAAUUUGGAUUAAUACCUUAUUGUAUAUGACUGGGACAUCCCUAACAUAUUAAAGUUCCAACGGUGUAAGAUGAGCAUGCGUCCCAUUAGCUAGUUGGUGUGGUAACGGCACACCAAGGCAAUGAUGGGUAGGGGUCCUGAGAGGGAGAUCCCCCACACUGGUACUGAGACACGGACCAGACUCCUACGGGAGGCAGCAGUGAGGAAUAUUGGUCAAUGGGCGCAAGCCUGAACCAGCCAUGCCGCGUGCAGGAUGACGCAUCUAUGGUGUGUAAACUGCUUUUGUACGGGAAGAAACCCUGCCACGUGUGGCAGAUUGACGGUACCGUAAGAAUAAGGAUCGGCUAACUCCGUGCCAGCAGCCGCGGUAAUACGGAGGAUCCAAGCGUUAUCCGGAAUCAUUGGGUUUAAAGGGUCCGUAGGCGGUUUUAUAAGUCAGUGGUGAAAUCCGGCAGCUCAACUGUCGAACUGCCAUUGAUAC